rnacentral:rRNA from 1 species
CUCGUCGGCAGCGUCAGAUGUGUAUAAGAGACAGGUGCAAUGGUGGCGGAUGACCUGUGGAUAGCGGAGAAAUUCUAAUCGAACUUGGAGAUAGCUGGUUCUCCCCGAAAUAGCUUUAGGGCUAGCGUUGAUUUAGAUUACCGGAGGUAAAGCACUGAAUGGGCUAGGGGCUGAUAAAGUUACUGAACCCUAUCAAACUAAGAAUGCCGGCAAAUUGAUGAUCAGCAGUCAGACUACGUGAGAUAAGUCUCGUGGUCAAAAGGGAAACAGCCCAGACCCACAGCUAAGGUCCCAAAUAUACGCUAAGUGGAAAACGAUGUGGAAUUGCGAAAACAACCAGGAUGUUGGCUUAGAAGCAGCCACUCAUUAAAAGAGUGCGUAAUAGCUCACUGGUCGAGUGGUUCUGCGCGGAAAAUGUAACGGGGCUAAGCAUGGUACCGAAGCUUUGGCAAUCUCCUUUGGAGAUUGGGUAGGGGAGCGUUCGCUGCGGGCUGAAGGUGUGUCGGAAGGCAUGCUGGACUGCAGUGAAGUGAUUAUGCUGACAUGAGUAACGAUAAAAUAUGUGAAAAACAUAUUCGCCGAAAACCCGAGGUUUCCUGGGUAAAGGUAAUCUUCCCAGGGUUAGUCGGAUCCUAAGGUGAGGGUGAAAGCCGUAACCGAUGGAAAACAGGUUAAUAUUCCUGUACUUGUUGUGUAGCGCGAUGGAGGGACGCAGGAAGAUAGGCGGGCCGGGUGUUGGAUAUCCCGGUGCAAGCGUGUAGGAAUAUCCGGUAGGCAAAUCCGCCGGACGAAUCUGAGACGCGAGUCCGUGGGCGCAAGCCCUGAAGCCGUUGAGUCUAUGCUGCCUAGAAAAGCUCCUAAGUUUAUCCACAGCAAUCCGUACCGCAAACCAACUCAGGUGGGUGGGAUGAACAAUCCAAGGCGCUCGAGAGAACUCUGGCCAAGGAACUCGGCAAAAUAACCCCGUAACUUCGGAAGAAGGGGUGCUCUCUAGGGUGACAUGUUUAACAUAUGAAGCCCCGGGGAGCCGCAGUGAAUUGGUGGUGGCGACUGUUUACUAAAAACAUAGGUCUGUGCGAAGUCCUAAAGACGACGUAUACGGACUGACGCCUGCCCGGUGCUGGAAGGUUAAAAGGAGGGGUCAGCGCAAGCAAAGCUCCGAAUUGAAGCCCCAGUAAACGGCGGCCGUAACUAUAACGGUCCUAAGGUAGCGAAAUUCCUUGUCGGGUAAGUUCCGACCUGCACGAAUGGCGUAAUGAUGGCCAGGCUGUCUCCACCCGAGACUCAGUGAAAUUGAACUCGCUGUGAAGAUGCAGUGUACCCGCGGCAAGACGGAAAGACCCCGUGAACCUUUACUAUAGCUUGACACUGAACAUUGAGCCUUGAUGUGUAGGAUAGGUGGGAGGCUUUGAAGUGUGGACGCCAGUCUGCAUGGAGCCGACCUUGAAAUACCACCCUUUAAUGUUUGAUGUUCUAACGUUGGCCCCUGAUCGGGGUUGCGGACAGUGUCUGGUGGGUAGUUUGACUGGGGCGGUCUCCUCCUAAAGAGUAACGGAGGAGCACGAAGGUUGGCUAAUCCUGGUCGGACAUCAGGAGGUUAGUGCAAUGGCAUAAGCCAGCUUGACUGCGAGCGUGACGGCGCGAGCAGGUGCGAAAGCAGGUCAUAGUGAUCCGGUGGUUCUGAAUGGAAGGGCCAUCGCUCAACGGAUAAAAGGUACUCCGGGGAUAACAGGCUGAUACCGCCCAAGAGUUCAUAUCGACGGCGGUGUUUGGCAC